rnacentral:rRNA from 1 species
AUUGAACGCUGGCGGCAUGCCUUACACAUGCAAGUCGAACGGUAACGCGGGGCAACCUGGCGACGAGUGGCGAACGGGUGAGUAAUGUAUCGGAACGUGCCCAGUUGAGGGGGAUAACUGCUCGGAAGAGCAGCUAAUACCGCAUACGACCUGAGGGUGAAAGCGGGGGAUCGCAAGACCUCGCGCAAUUGGAGCGGCCGAUAACAGAUUAGGUAGUUGGUGGGGUAAAGGCUCACCAAGCCAACGAUCUGUAGCUGGUCUGAGAGGACGACCAGCCACACUGGGACUGAGACACGGCCCAGACUCCUACGGGAGGCAGCAGUGGGGAAUUUUGGACAAUGGACGCAAGUCUGAUCCAGCCAUGCCGCGUGCGGGAAGAAGGCCUUCGGGUUGUAAACCGCUUUUGUCAGGGAAGAAACGCUCUGGGUUAAUACCUCGGGGUAAUGACGGUACCUGAAGAAUAAGCACCGGCUAACUACGUGCCAGCAGCCGCCGCGGUAA